rnacentral:SRP_RNA from 1 species
GCUGGCUGGCAGUGAUGUCCAAGCACCCCCCCUCAUGGAGGCUGAGGGUGGAGGAUGGUUGGAGCUCAGGAGCUCUGAGCUGCAGUGGACUGUGCUGAUCGGGUGUCUGCACUGAGUUCGGUACCGAUAUGGUCUUUCUGGGGGAGCCCGGGAGACCAGGUCGUCUAAGGACGGGUGAACCGGCCCAGGCCGGAAACGGAGCAGGUCAAAGCCCGCGUGCCGCUCAGCAGUGGGAUCA